rnacentral:lncRNA from 1 species
CUGAUUUAUUUUAUUUUAUUCCAUUAUCAUUAUCAUUAUCGUAUAGUAGAAAUCUAUGAUUGUAAGGUUCAUAUAAUUAGGAAAAGGAAAUAAAAACAAAACAAAUCCAAUUAUUGGGUGGCAAUUUAAUAAUUAAAUGAAAUCUCAUGGAAUGUUUUAUCACAAGAGAUUUUUAUAUCUUUUCUUUUUGCAAUAAUUUUUCCUUCAUUGUAGAGUAUUUGGGACCAUAUGUAAGAACACAUUCACAUUUGUUAUUCACACACCACGCAACCCGAGGUGCUAAACACAUGUUUUUUGGACAAUCAAAGUCGUUUUUACAUUCAAUAUGUGCUGUAAUGAAAAAAGAAAAUAUGAGAAUGUUGUUGAAUAAAAGGGAUAAAAGAUUUGUACAAAGUGAAGAAAGAAACUUUAAAAGCAUGAAAAAUGGAUUACCAUUAACAUUUGUAAUAACAACAAAUAUGGAAAGAAAGAUUAUCAUAACGUAAACAAACUCCAUAAUUUUAGG